rnacentral:tRNA from 1 species
GCCGGGGUAGCCUAGCUUGGCUUAGGGCGCCAGACUCAUAAUCUGGAGAACAACGGUGGCCAACGCCCUGUG